AGGACUAACGCUGGCGGCGUGCCUAACACAUGCAAGUCGAACGAGAGUAGCAAUACUCUAGUGGCAGACGGGUGAGUAACACGUGGUCAACCUUCCCUAGCGUGGGGGAUAACUAGCCGAAAGGUUAGCUAAUACCGCAUGACAUCGUCGAGUGGCAUCAUUUGACGAUCAAAGGAGCAAUCCGCGCAAGGACGGGACCGCGUCCCAUUAGCUAGUUGGUGAGGUAACGGCCCACCAAGGCUUCGAUGGGUAGCUGGUUUGAGAGAGCGACCAGCCACACUGGGACUGAGACACGGCCCAGACUCCUACGGGAGGCAGCAGUGAGGAAUUUUCCGCAAUGGGCGAAAGCCUGACGGAGCGACGUCGCGUGUGGGAAGAAGGCCUUCGGGUCGUAAACCACUGUCGAAGGGGAAGAUAUUGACGGUACCCUUGGAGGAAGCCCGGCUAACUACGUGCCAGCAGCCGC
rnacentral:rRNA from 1 species